UCUAAUGCCUGUUUUGCUAUUCUCUCUGAAAGCCCCAACAAAAAGAAAUACAUGGUUUGUGCUUAGAGGUGAGUGAACUUCUCAGCUAAAGGGGACCAUCUUCUAGAGACUUGCAUUGAAUGCCCUGACAGUAAUCCAACUGUUUUUUCUACUUGGGGAACUAUAUUUUGUGGUUUUGCUUUCAUCUCUAAGCUUUUCUGCUGAAAAAGCUUACCUGGUGAAACCUGUUUUUUUCCUGGCUACAUUUAAAUUACUUCCUGUGAAAGAGCAUCUGUGAUCUCCCAUGGGGUAGGCAGGCUUUUUUCCUCUCCCUGGAGAAACUGUUGUCCUUAAUGUGAAUCACUGAAGAUGCAUGUCUUGCUGCUAAAAUGAAUUUUAAAGUCUUUGAUUUAAGUGAUUGCAGUUUUCAGAGCAGGAAUCUGCUGAAGAUGCUCUGAAUGUUGUAGCUGCAGAGGCUUAUGUGCUUCCAGGUAACAGUGCAGGGAUGCAACUCAUUUGGAGUCUGAGAUUAUUAAUUGAAACCUGAUUUGUUUGCAUCUGCUUGCUUUGUAACAACUUCUGAUAUAGUCUUACCAGAAUUCAGAACUCCUUAGGCCUAGAUGCAUAUCCCAAAAUAUGAGCAGUUCUUCUGUCCUGUGUAGAAGUUUUCCAGAAAAAUGGGUUCAACAUAUAUAAAUCCCAACGACUGGGUCUUUAACACCUUCAGCACAAGACCUAAGAAUUCCCUCAGAGUUAAGUUUCCAGCUUGACUUGAUCUUUCCUGAUCGACCCACAAGCCUUGUCUACAUUUGGUUUUCUUCCUGUGUGUGACCAUACCCAAGAAGCUUCUCCCUGUGCUGAACACAGCCUGUCUAAAGGUCCAGGUGUUUCUGGUAAGUGCUUUUGUAUCAUUUGUGGUUGUUUUUCCAAGUUAACAUAAUCUUGGAUUGCCUGCAGGUUGUGGGGCUUCCAGCCAUGAAGAUACUGCAGACUCUGUCCUGUUCUUGGACCUGCUUUGGGCAGAGAUUGGAGCAGGCUGGCUCAGUAUUACUGGUAAGGAUUAUUUUUCAUUUUUCUCAAUUCAGAAGAAUAAGUUUCUUCAAGCCUUUUCUGCAGCUGUGCCAUCCUCAGCUUUCCAUCCAUCCAAGAGAUGUGGACCAAGCCCCAGGCUCAGUGGAGGAGCAGAGUGGUGACCAGGACCUUUUGGAAGCAGGACCUUGCAGGACCCUGCAGGUGUGUAUUUCUGCCUGCUGCACUUCCCACUGCCUUUC
ensembl:lncRNA